AACUAUAUAUCAUAAUUAAAAACUCAAAAAGCUUCCUAAAUUAUCAAACACCGCACAUUAUAGCGCAAAACAACAUACAAUCCAAGACGAUGAGCUAGUAACUUAUGCUAAGAGUACUAAUUUUAUCCUUUUGAUCUUUAACUUGGUGUUUUGUCUCUUGGAUUGUUUAAAUUGAACCUUAAACACUAUAAAAAAGUUAUUACACACAUAAUUAGUCAAAUACCUUAAUUAAACCAUUACACACACUAGAAUCCAUCGAGAUUAACUGGAACAAUACAUAGCUCAAGCAAGUAACACUAGUUUUCUCGUUUAAACUCUAAGUGGCCAAAUUGAUUCCAAACUUGUUUGAAACACACCUUAAACAUUAUAAUCACGUAGUUUGACACUUAGAUGUUAAAUUAUAUUAUUAACAACUCAUUACUCAUAUAAGAAGUCCUCAAAACAAAGCUAAUUAAAGUCGGAUAAUAAGUCUUAGGUGCAUAAACUCACCUAAGAUCAUCACCCCACACUUAAAGCCUUGUUAGUCCUCAAACAACUCUUUACUAUAAGAAUCGUAAUAAUAGAAGACUCCAUACUUCUAUUACAAGAAAGAUAUUCAAGCUAAUACUACAAUGACUACAUAGAGAGCAAGAUUUUACCUUAAACAUGUCUUGUACAAGUGAAAGCUCAAGAAUGCUACUUCAAAACAUCCUAACCUCAAGAAUUGACUCACCAAGUUGGCUAACUAAUGCAUAUUACUCAAUCAAAUAGAUCAUACAAAUCACAUACUACCAUUAAAAUAUUCCCUCAUAACAAGAGUUACCCAUACUUACUCACAAAGAUACAAUUAUUGCAAGAACGAGUAUAAGAAUCAAUUUAUGCUCACUCUCACAAAGAAUUCACAAGUUACACAUGAUGAACCAUAGGAUUUCCCUUAGUGUAGUACUCUACUAAUAUCAGAAUGUUAAGGCUUAGAAUCAAAUAAGUCUUUGAGGGCUGUAAUGUAGGCUCAGGGAUGGGUAGGAACUAUUCUGGCCAGUAAUAGUGACUAUCUUCCUUGAGAGCAGCAUCACAUUUGUCAUUCAAUUCACCUUUACCAACCAACAUUCCACCUCAUAUACCUUCGCACAGAUCUUUUUAUUUGCCUCAUCUCAUUAAGCUAGUUCACGUACAAUGCAGUGGGAGUAUUUUCCAUUCACAUCUUAUUCAAUUUUGAACACUUUUUUUUAUCUCAUAACUUCCAAUCACAACAAACCAAUUUACUACACCAAUAGCUACUUUUUGGGGUCUCACUUUCACCUCUUUUGUUCUUGUAUUUCACAUCCUUAACUCAGUAAGUUUUCACUAAAGCACUUAGGAGCUUUGGAUCAAUUUUAGGUCAAACAAAAAAUGGAAAUAGACUACAUAUGAGGCUACCAAAGAGUAGGCUAAAGGUCCAAUGGGGCUAACUAGAAUUAUAAACAAGGGUAGGUAUCAAAGGGUAUGAAACAUGGCUAUCAAAGAAAUACCUAUAUCAUCUUCUAAACCCACACUCUUUAUUUCACUUUGCACACACACCAGUCAAGUUCUAGGAAUCAAAUGCAACAAGAAAUACAAAAAACUUCAGUUCACACAUAGCACAUGCUCAACUCAAGUAGGAUCAUCAUAAACCCUCAACCAAACAAUAAAAUCAGUUAAAUACUAAUCCAAUAAUGUUUAAGAGUUAUAAACUAGAGCCUAGGAGUCUCAAAAGUAGUAAUUCACAGAAAGAACUUGCUUUUACUCACAAAACCCACUUGCAUCGUACAAUCAUGCACAACACAAACUAGAAUAUCUCACUUAUCCUAACACAAAAAUUUAAAAUUUACUCCUAAAAAUAAAAUAGAUACUAGGUUCAAAGGGCGCCCCCAUGUAAAAGAAUAAAACAAACCACCAGGUGGGUAAAGUGUGCACCUACUUAACUUACACCCACAAACUAAAAACUAAAAAGCAAAUUAUUUUUGUAAUUUUUUAAAAUUUUCAAAUUUAACCCAAAAAAACACUAAGACUACAACUAAAACUAAGACCCUACAAUAUCACUUCACCCAAAACCAUGGGAAUUUCCCCACCACACACCUAAAACUUACUUUGUCCCCAAAGUAAACUUAAAAGUAGAGAUCAAAAUACUCCUUGAGGCCUCUAGUCCUAGCUAGUUUUAUUUUUAACAUCAAGAGGGUCAGGGGACCCCAUACUUAGUCUCUGCCAUGCUUCUUAGCUCAGGUUUCUGAUACUCAGACUUCCCAUCAGCCUGUGAAUCAAUAAAAAAAACACUAUGUGAAUGAAAAAAUAAAAUAUUUUGAAAAUAAAAUACCUACCUUAAAUUGGGUUGCCUCCCAAGUAACACCUAAUUUAGUGUCGCGGCACGACCCAACAUCACUACUCAGCCGAAUUCCUUCAUCUUCUUCCUCAUACUUAGAGGCCAUCUUCUUUUUUGUUUUUGACCUCUAGAGUGUGUACUCUCCAGGUCAAUAGCUUUAUCUAUAAUAUCUUUUUUAGGCUUAUCGAUCAUCAUUACUUUAGGCUUAGGUGGUGGCUCGGACAACUCAAUGAGACUGUUCGAAGAGGUAUUUGGUAGUGCACUUGCUAUCACCCCACACUUAUCCACUUCUAUCACUGUAAUCAUACACAAAUACUUAUAGUAGUAAGGUAUAUUAAGUGGAACCUUUUUGUUAUCUAAUCACAUUGUGAGAGUGCCCUCUCUCACAUCUAUCAACACUUAUCUUAUGGCUAAGAAUAGACGUCCCAAAAUGAUUGGUACCCUAUUAUCUGCAUCAUAAUCCAAAAUAAUAAAAUCAGUAGGAAUUAUAAACUUUCCAAACCUUAUGAGGACGUCCUCAAUUAUUCCGUUGGGCUCCACUAUAGUCGUAUCCACCAAUUACAAUAUCAAAUAACAUCGUCUCGGCUUACCUAAUCCAACAGUAUUGAACAUAGACAAAUGAAUCAAAUUUAUACUUACCCCUAAAUCAAUCAAGGUGUGGACCACUUCACUAUCACUAAUUUGUAAGUGGAGGGUUAAACUCCCUGGGCCUUAAGCUUCUUGGGCAUUUUUUUAUUACCAUAGAUCUGCACUCCUCUAUCAAUGCCACCAUCUUAAUAUUCUAUAGAUUCACCUUGUUAGUCACCACAUCCUUGAUGUACUUGGUGUACUUGGGCAUUCCCCAUAAAAUAUCUAAAAGAGGUAAAUUAAUAUGGAGUUCUCUGAACGUGUCAAAGAACUUCUUGAAAUAGGCAUCCUCUAUGGCUUUCUUGAAUCUCUAUGGGAAUGGUGGUAGUGGUUUAUCAUUCACUUGCAUAAAAAUCUUUAUUUUCAGGUACUCAGAUUCCCUGAAUUAUUAACAACUUUUUCUGCAACCUAUUAUGGAACUAACUCUGCAUCUACCUCCUUAGCUUUCUUCAAAGGUGUGUCACUAAGAUACUUACUACUCCUCAAAGUGAUUGCCAUAACUUGCUUCUGAUCCUUAUUUUCACCUGGAAACCUACCUUGAGGCCUGGUAUUCUAUGCUUGCUGUAAUUUCCCUAACUGCUGCUCUUACUGCUUUUGAGCUACUUGCUUAUUUUUGAUUCACCAACCAUCUAUUCUUGGUUGGCCAAAUUCUUUUUUAGAGUCUCUUUACUCUUAAUGGACUGAGUAUUAUAUUGUUGCUGCUAAAAUUGCUAUUGUUGUUUGUUACCCCAAGGAUACUGUCACUUUUGGUUGUAGGGAUUUGUAUAAGUUGGCUUAUGUGCAUUGCCCACAAAAUUGAUGGAUACAGGAUUUACACCACACAAGUCUGUAGAGUGGCCACUAUUGCCAAAAAUCUCAUACCAACCUGGGGUCUGCUAUUCUGUAUUCAACUGAUCCAGAGUUUGAUUCACACCCAAUAGGUUGAUUUGGGUCAUCAUCUUAUUCUGCAUGGCUGACAAUUGAGUGGCUAAGGCAGUGAUACUAUCAACUUCAAUUAUGCCCGCAACAUUUUUCACUAAGCUUCUACACAUGUCACCAUGCCAGUUGGAAUUCCUUUGAGCAAUGCGAUUCAACAAAGUAUAAAACUCAUUAUAAGUUUUCUCCAUACCCUAACCACCUAUAGAUGAAUCUAGAAAAAUUUUGUGUAAAGUCAAGAUCUUCUACAAAUGUGAGCUAAUACCUCAUUAGACUACUGAUGAUAUGGACAAUCCCUAAGAAGAGACUUAAAUCUCUCCCAAGUAUGAUAUAGGUUCUCGCCUCAGCUUGAAGUUUAAAAUCUAGUGCAUAGUCUUGUGGUCUUGCAAGGUAGAAAAAAAUAAAUGAGGAACUUUUGGGCUAAGUCAUCCCAAGUUGUGAUUGAACCUGCCCGCUCAGCAUUCAACUAUUUUUUUCUUUCCCCAGAAGUGAAAAAGGGAAGAGUGUCAACCUUACAUAAUCAGUUGACACACCUGUCGGGAUAAAUGUGUCACUUAUUUCUAGUAAGUUUUGUUGGUUGACUUGUGGAUCUUUAUGUGAAAGCCCAGUAAACUGUCCACUGCUGUGCAAAAGUUGCACCAUGUUCUUCUUUAGUUCAAAUCUACCUCCAAUGGCUAGUCAAUGAAUACGGAGGUCAUAUUAGUCACAAGUAGGAUUGCCACAUCAUAAAUUAUCCUAUGGGCUGGUGGAUCCUCAGCCACUGGAGUAGGAAUAUCUUAUUCCUUAUGAAUUUAUGGGAUAUGGUAGAGAAGGGCUUCUUUUCUUCUUUAUUGGUGAAAGCAUUGCUUGGACUCGAGGUCUGAUUCAACCAACUCCCUAUCCCUAGCUAGCUUACUAGUUCUUUUAACAUGUGCCAGUAUGUGGUGACCUAAAAAUUUGAUAAAUUAUGUGUUUUUGCGUGAUUUGACUAUUUACCCCUUACCAUAGUUGCUUUUGGUAUUUUUGGGGUAUGAGGAUGAUUGACAUAAUUCUCGAUGUAUUUUGGUACCAUUUGUGCGAUAUUGUGAUUUUUGGAGGGUCUGAGAGCCUUAUUUUGGACUUCUGUGAUUAUCUUUUGAUUUGUGAGAUAGAUGACUGAAUAGACUAUGCCACCAGAUUCAGAACGUCAAUUUUAGGGUGGUAACAUAUUUGUUAUGAUUUUGUGGCUUUUAAAUAUUAUUUCAACCCUCGAUUGAAAAAUUAUGAUUUUGGAUUUUGGGGGUCAACUUUGUGAAAAUGAUACUUUUUAAAAUUUUGAUAUUUUCAUUGAGUUCGAAGCAUCGAAUUUAGUAUGGUUACAUAGUCCAUUUAUGUAUAUCAGACUCCAAACAAAUCUUGAAUGAAGUCCAUUUUGGGACUUAAAAAUCUGGUGUACCAGGUUGCGGGUGCAACCUGGAAAAUAAAGGGUAAAUCUCAUUUAGGGAGGCCGAUUUAUGCUUUUAAUGCCUUGUAACUGGGCUGAGUAUAAAUAGCCCAGUUUUCCUAAUUUUGCUCAUUCUUUCACCUCGCCUCUUGAGAGUUAAAUCCUAAAAUAGUGUGAGAGCUAAAAAGUGCAGCUUAUCGGUGCUUGGGAAGCUAGAUUAUCAUCGAUUUCUUGAUUCUCUUACGGAUUUAAGGUGAGAUUUCAUCCUUUUCUUACUUUAAUUCUUGAUUUAAUUAUUCAAAACCCUAAAAACCUUAUUACUUGAUUUAUCCCCAAAUUUCACUCCUUUUCACUUGCAUAAUGCUCCUAAUCUUAUAAUUACUAGUUUUCAUCAAUUUAACAUUCAAAAAAACUUUGAUUCCUGAUUUUAACAUGAAUUUUAAAGGUUUUACCCGAUAAAGCUCAAAAAUGGUUUUUCUUUAAUUUGGACCUCAUUUUAACUCGAUUUGACUUGGGUUUUCAGCUAUAGGUUUCUAAAAGUAUGGGGAACAUAUUUUUGAAGUAAAGUAAUACAUUUCAUUUUCUUUAUUGGGUUGAUGUUGUGAUUGAAUUUACGAUUGACUUGUUAUAUGUCUACUUGCUCUAGAUACUGUUACUUAUACUUGACCCUCCUGUAUAUGCAUGUUUUUCUCUAUAUAUACUUGCAUGUGAUAUAAUGUAUGGUUGUGUUAUACUUUUUAUAUUGUUGUUGUAUUUGUGAUAUAUAUAUUAGAACUGUUAGUGCAAGUGGUGUAGACUACCGUUAUGGGACAUUUUUUUGAUUGCAGGUGAUAUGUCCGUAGUGUGUCUUUUGUGUACCUUAUGUUUUGGUUUGCUUGGUCGGCCUAUGAUACCUAUUGAGUACAAGUGGACCGUACUCACUCCUACUAUAUCCUUCUAGUGCAGAUUCAAGUUUGAGUACACCCUACAUUGCUGUUUAACUCAGGCGAUUAUUGGAGCUUUCAAGGUAGUUGAUGAUUUUCAGGCAUCCGGAUGUCUACUGCUACCUUUCUUUAUAGACUAUGUCUUGAUUUCAUUUCAGAGAUAGAUUUUCUCUUGUAUUUAGAUAUCUUAUGUAUUUCCUUGGAUUCGAGUUGUACUAGAUAUAUUCUUAUACUGUUGACACCUAGUUUUGAGAGUUAUGGCUGCAUUGUUAUGUUCUUUUUACAUUAACUAUACUUGUAUGGUUCGACUUCAUUCUAGAAUCCUUACCUUAGGGUUAUGUCUAUCUUUUUACCUUUGUGUAUCAAUUUGUGUGAUAAGAUUACUUGUUAAGGUUUGCCG
rnacentral:lncRNA from 1 species